rnacentral:rRNA from 1 species
CAGCCGCCACGGUAAUACGUAGGGUGCAAGCGUUAAUCGGAAUUACUGGGCGUAAAGCGUGCGCAGGCGGUUCGUUAAGACAGAUGUGAAAUCCCCGGGCUUAACCUGGGAACUGCAUUUGUGACUGGCGAGCUAGAGUAUGGCAGAGGGGGGUAGAAUUCCACGUGUAGCAGUGAAAUGCGUAGAGAUGUGGAGGAAUACCGAUGGCGAAGGCGGCUCACUGGACAAUAACUGACGCUGAUGCACGAAAGCUAGGGGAGCAAACAGGAUUAGAUACCCCAGUAGUCCCUGUCUCUUAUAC